GUGUCAGCCGCCGCGGUAAUACGAAGGUGGCAAGCGUUGUUCGGAUUUACUGGGCGUACAGGGAGCGUAGGCGGUUUGAUAAGCCCUCUGGGAAAUCUUCGGGCUUAACCCGGAAAGUUCAGAGGGGACUGCCAAGCUAGAGGACGGGAGAGGAGCGCGGAAUUCCCGGUGUAGCGGUGAAAUGCGUAGAGAUCGGGAGGAAGGCCGGUGGCGAAGGCGGCGCUCUGGAACGUUUCUGACGCUGAGGCUCGAAAGCGUGGGGAGCAAACAGGAUUAGAAACCCGUGUAGUCC
rnacentral:rRNA from 1 species